ACAGGCUCCGGCCCGGGAACUCCGCCCGUCGCGGCGGCAGGACCUCAGCGGCCCUGGGCCCGGGCCCGGCGGCGGCCAUGGCCUCGGCGGCCGUGGAGAGCUUCGUGACCAAGCAGUUGGACCUGCUGGAGCUCGAGAGAGCCGCGGAGGUCGAGGAGCGCAGGUCUUGGCAGGAAAACAUCUCUCCGAAAGAACUGCAGAGCCGAGGCGUGUGUUUGCUGAAGCUGCAGGUGUCCAGCCAGAGGACUGGGCUGUAUGGGCGGCUGCUGGUCACCUUUGAGCCCAGGAGAUGUGCAGCUGCCGCGGUGCUUCCCAGCAACAGCUUUACUUCGGGCGAUAUAGUGGGUCUGUAUGACGAAGGGAGUCAGCUGGCCACGGGGAUCCUGACCCGGAUCACGCAGAGAUUGGUCACGGUGGCCUUUGACGAGUCCCACGACUUCCAGCUGAGCUUGGACCGGGAGCAGGCCUACAGACUGUUAAAACUUGCCAAUGAUGUCACUUACAAGCGACUGAAAAAGGCUCUGAUCACCCUAAAGAAGUACCAUUCUGGCCCCGCAUUCUCACUCAUAGAGGUCCUCUUUGGUGGAUCAGCCCCCAGUCCUGCAAGUGAGAUACAGCCGCCGCCGUUCUGUAACACUUCCCUGGAUGCCUCCCAGAAGGAAGCGGUCUCCUUCGCGCUGUCGCAGAAAGAGCUUGCCAUCAUCCAUGGGCCUCCUGGCACUGGGAAGACCACCACCGUGGUCGAGAUCGUUCUGCAGGCUGUGAGGCAGGGGUUAAAGGUGGGCCCCGUCACCACGCAUGAGCUCCCCGUGCUGGGCUCGCAGGCGCUCGGCUGGGUCUCAGCCUGGUCAGGAACACUCCUGCCCGUGUGCUGUCCACAGGUUCUGUGCUGUGCUCCCUCUAACGUGGCCGUGGACAAUCUGGUAGAGCGUCUGGCUCGGUGUAAGCAGAGAGUCCUGCGCCUCGGGCACCCUGCCCGCCUGCUGGAGUCCAUUCAGCAGCAUUCCCUCGACGCGGUGUUAGCACGGAGUGACAGCGCCCAGAUUGUCGCGGACAUCAGGAAGGACAUCGAUCAGGCCUUUGCGAAGAACAGGCAGACCCAGGAUAAGAGAGAGAAGAGUAGUGUUUGGAGUGAAAUCAAGCUGUUGAGGAAGGAGCUGAAGGAGAGGGAAGAGGCUGCGAUGCUGGAGAGCCUCCUGUCAGCAGCCGUGGUGCUGGCGACAAACACAGGUGCUUCUUCCGACGGCCCUCUGAAGCUGCUGCCCGACGGCCACUUCGACGUGGUGGUCAUCGACGAGUGCGCCCAGGCCCUGGAAGCCAGCUGCUGGAUCCCCCUGCUGAAGGCCAGGAAGUGCAUCCUGGCUGGCGAUCACAAGCAGCUGCCCCCCACCACGGUCUCCCACAAGGCUGCCCUGGCGGGGCUGUCGCUGAGCCUGCUGGAGCGCCUGGUGCAGGAACGUGGCACGUGUGUGGUGCGGAUGCUGAGGGUGCAGUACCGCAUGCACGAGGCCAUCAUGCGCUGGGCCUCGGACACCCUGUACCACGGGCAGCUCACGGCCCACCCUUCCGUGGCUGGGCACCUCCUACGGGAUCUCCCAGGAGUGGCUGCCACGGAGGAGACCAGCAUCCCCCUGCUGCUUGUGGACACGGCCGGCUGCGGGCUGUUUGAACUGGAAGAGGAGGAUGACCAGUCUAAGGGGAACCCUGGUGAAGUGCGCCUCGUCAGUCUGCACAUCCAGGCCCUGGUGGACGCUGGUGUCCAAGCGAGUGACAUCGCCAUCAUUACGCCAUACAACCUCCAGGUGGACCUGCUCAGGCGGAGCCUUGCCCACAGGCACCCCGAGCUUGAAAUUAAGUCCGUCGAUGGCUUCCAAGGCCGAGAGAAGGAGGCUGUGGUCCUGUCCUUCGUCAGAUCCAAUAGGAAAGGCGAAGUGGGCUUCCUUGCCGAGGACCGGCGGAUCAACGUUGCCGUCACCCGCGCGCGGCGCCACGUGGCGGUCGUGUGUGAUUCUCACACCGUUAGCAAGCACACCUUCUUGAAGACCCUGGUGGAUCACUUCGCGGAGCACGGGGCAGUGCGCACGGCCUUCGAGUAUCUUGACGACAUCGUCCCUGAAAACUACUCCCACAAGAGUUCCCAGGGCCACGGCCGAGCUGGCGCGAAGCCCCACGGCUCUGCGGCGUUGGCCAGGAAGCCUCCUGGGGGCCAGCCGCGGGAGGGGGCCCAGGAGGCCAGAGCAGCUGAGGGGCUGGAGCGGAGGAGGCCGGGUGGGCAGCCCUCGGGCCCUGAGGUCCCUUCUCAGCCCAGGCUCAACGGAGGCAGCCCAGAGGGAGCGGGGAGCGGAGACCGUGCAGAACACUUCAGGGCCAAGAUCGCCGAGUUUGUGGCGAGUGAGAAAACCCAGUUGGAGUUUCCUGCUUCCCUGAACUCCCACGACAGGAUGUGGAUCCACCAGAUAGCCGAAGAGCAUGGGCUGAGGCAUGACAGCACUGGGGAAGGGAAGAAGAGGUUCAUCACCGUAAGCAAGAGAGCCCCGCCCGCCCCGCCAGCCCUACAGCGUCCAGCAGGGACCGGAAGCCAAGCCCCUGCCGGGCCCACGGCCCCCAGCCCCAGCCCCACACAGAGCAAGCCCCCUCUUGGGGAGCAGAGCAGUCAGGACCCCCUGAAUCUGAAGGCCCUGCACCUGGAAAGGCUGCAGAGGGAGAAGAGCAGGCGGGAGCGGCCGGCCAAGGAGGGGCAGCAGGCCUCGUGCUCCGGGCCGCGCACGUUAGCAGAGAAGAAGAAGAAGAAAGAAGCAAAAGGACACGCGGCUGUAGAUUUGCCCGGUGAGGAGGACUUCGAGGCCCUGGUCGCGGCCGCCAUCAAGGCUGAUAACAUGUGCAGCCUCGCUAAGUGCACGGCCAGCGUCGUGACUGUGGGCCAGCUCUGUCUGCACUGCGGCCGCCGUUUCUGCCUCAGCCACCACCUGCCCGAGAUCCAUGGCUGUGGGGAGAGGGCUCGUGCCCACGCCCGGCAGAGAAUCAGCCGGGACGGAGUCCUCUACGCCGGCAGUGGGACCAAGGACAGGUCCCUGGACCCAGCCAAGAGGGCCCAGCUCCAGAGGAGGCUGGGUAAGAAGCUGGAUGAGCUGACCAGCCAGAGGAAGAGUAAACGGAAGGAGAAGGAGAAGUGACGGAAAAUCUGCCUGAGUAGGUGAGCCUUCUCCCGAAUUGCCAGGAAACUUGAUGCUGGCAUUUCUGACUCACUGGAGCCGACUUUUCCAUGAGUGUUCGUUCCGUGUACUGUGCCCUGUUGUCUCCAGCCUCCGCUGGCUUCAGAUGGAUUCCGUGGCUCCUGGGAAAGAUGGAGCGUCUUGAUGGAGGGUUCUAGACCAAGAAGUGCAUGUGCAAAAGGAUCUCAGGCUUCAGAAUUCUGGCCCCAAAUAGAAAACUCAGUUAUCUCACGACUGCAGCUGGCAGGGGAUUGGAGAAAGCGAGGCAGAUGCUAGAGAGGCAUUCUGUUUCCUCUUACUGAGCCGGGACAUGAAGACAGGGAGAGGCCUCAGCUCUCAGGCUGUGUGCUGUGCGGUCUGCUGAACACGCGUCUCCUGCCCGUCCCCGCCCUCUUCAGCCGCCGGCAGCCCGAGCCUGGGCUGUCCCUGGUCUCAGGUGGGGACUGUGGGCUCCUACAAGGCCAGUCUGGGUUGUCCUUGGGCUGUGAUGGGCCUGUCCUGUCUGCUCCACGUGGUGUCCCCGGGGCCCCAACUGCCGGUGCUUUGCUGGUGGGAACACAAAGGCCAGCGGCCUGGGUUCCAAGGCAAGCGGGCGGCCACCAGAACGUUUGGACUGUGACUGGGGCUCCACACUGGGGGCGACCAGGCUGUCCCUCAGAGCCCAGCUGUGCAGAUUAAAUGAGCUUUGCAGGUGGAGCUUUUAGCCCAGGGCCCACUGCACACAGCAGGUCCUCUGCAAAUGGCAGUCCGUGCCCAAGUCCCCGGGGCUCGGGAUUGGUUCUUUCCUCGUCCCUCCUUCCUGGCCACCUGCUCCCUCACGGCCACCUAGCCCCUGGCCUGUGCCUGACCAGGGAUUUAGGACAGCUCCUAAGGCCUGUGCUGGGUCUUUGAGAAAACCCAGGCCCACGGCUUGUGGGUGGCAGCCCCCUGUCUCCCUGAGGCUUGCUCUUGACUUCCCAUGUUUGACCCUGUUUAUGCCCUGUAUCAUCCAGGAGUGUGCUUGUCCAGACAGUCAUGGCAGGAGGCACAGAAAGCUGGGCCCGGCAGCCCAACCCUGGCCGCUGUGCCCUCCCUGGCCGGCAUAUCCGGUGGUGGUAGCAAGUUGUGCUUAGUAACAACUGGAGUGGCAGGGAGACAAGUGUUUCUUCCUUGUGUGGCCACCUAGGAGCUUGAUAGGGAUGGUGAUACUCACCCCCUGAAUUCGGCUGACCUGCAAUGGUGAGGGGAGGAUGGCAAGACCCCUUGCUCCAGAGAGUUCCAGGGUGGAUAUCUGUGAUGCUCAGGGCCCUCUGCUUCCUGCCUUUCCCAGACACCCAGAAAGAAGGAGGCUGGGGGUGGGCCCAGCUGAGCUGCCUUUGCUGGGGGACAGCAGAGGCACCUCUGCCUGCCCCUGCAGCCUGCUCCCUGGGCCCUUUAAUAACUCAGUACCCAAGGAGGGAGGAGAAAGUGCCCUUCCCUUCUGCUCCUGCUCCUGGUCCUCCAUUAGCACAAAUAGGGUUUGGUCUGGGGUGUGGACAGGAUGUGCAGGCUAUCCCCAUGGGGGUGGGGACUGGAUGGGGAGGAGAAGCCUUGCUCCCAAGAAAGACUGUAGGGAUCCACAUCUGAGAAGGUUCCAGAGGCUUGACAGGGCUGAUCCUGGAGCUAACCCCCCACCCUCCCAGGCCUACUGCCCACUAAGCAUGGGCAGAUGCAUGGUCAUAUGGGGGCCCAGCCCUUUCCUGACCUCCAGGCCCUGCAGUGAGUGAGGGCUGC